GUAGUCCACGCCGUAAACGUUGGGCGCUAGAUGUGGGGACCAUUCCACGGUUUCCGUGUCGCAGCUAACGCAUUAAGCGCCCCGCCUGGGGAGUACGGCCGCAAGGCUAAAACUCAAAGGAAUUGACGGGGGCCCGCACAAGCGGCGGAGCAUGCGGAUUAAUUCGAUGCAACGCGAAGAACCUUACCAAGGCUUGACAUAUACGAGAACGGGCUAGAAAUAGUCAACUCUUUGGACAAUCGUAAACAGGUGGUGCAUGGUUGUCGUCAGCUCGUGUCGUGAGAUGUUGGGUUAAGUCCCGCAACGAGCGCAACCCUCGUUCUAUGUUGCCAGCACGUAAUGGUGGGAACUCAUAGGAGACUGCCGGGGUCAACUCGGA
rnacentral:rRNA from 1 species